rnacentral:rRNA from 1 species
AUACGUAGGGAGCGAGCGUUGUCCGGAAUUACUGGGCGUAAAGGGCGCGUAGGCGGCGCUUCAAGUCGUCUGUCAAAUGGGAGGGCUUAACCCUUUUUCGCAGACGAAACUGGAGAGCUUGAGAAGCAGAGAGGCAAACAGAAUUCCUGGUGUAGCGGUGAAAUGCGUAGAUAUCAGGAAGAAUACCAGUGGCGAAGGCGGUUUGCUGGCUGCAUACUGACGCUGAAGCGCGAAAGCCAGGGGAGCAAACGGGAUUAGAUACCCCGGUAGUCCUGGCAGUAAACGAUGUAUGCUGGGUGUGAGACUAGCGAUAGUUUCGUGCCGAAGUUAACGCGAUAAGCAUACCGCCUGGGGAGUACGGUCGCAAGAUUGAAACUCAAAUGAAUUGACGG